CGGCGGACGGGUGAGUAACACGUGGAUAACCUACCUAUAAGACUGGGAUAACUUCGGGAAACCGGAGCUAAUACCGGAUAAUAUUUUGAACCGCAUGGUUCAAAAGUGAAAGACGGUCUUGCUGUCACUUAUAGAUGGACCCGCGCUGCAUUAGCUAGUUGGUAAGGUAACGGCUUACCAAGGCAACGAUGCAUAGCCGACCUGAGAGGGUGAUCGGCCACACUGGAACUGAGACACGGUCCAG
rnacentral:rRNA from 1 species